AGAAUCAGAGGUUCCUGCAACUUAUUCUUUUAUCUUUCAAUGCCCCUUGGCAAUCAUUAUUCCACCUGACCGUUUGAUAUCUUUUUUUUCCAACAGCUUGAAUGGGGCUGUUAGAUGAGAUAUGAACCGUGAAAUGCAGUUCAAUCUAUCUAAGAAACCACGAACCUUCUUUUCUGUUCUCGGUUCAGGCGUUUCUUGUAUCGCUUUUUUCCUUUUCUUUUUUCCCCUUUUUUUUUAGCAGGAUCGAC
rnacentral:lncRNA from 1 species